GCCAGGCACCUCCCACGCCCUUGGUCUCCUUGGUGUUGGUCAGCUCCAUCGACGGCCUCCCCGCCUCGCCCCCUGCCCGUUCGCCGCCGCCGGAGGGGACGACGACGCGAGGUUUCACAAAUGGAGCCGGUGGCGAUCGAUGCUCAAGUGCUCGGCAUGCAGGACACGGCCAUGGACAACCGAGUAGGCAGCGGUGCAGUCAGUGCUCACAUGAGAGGUGGGGGGUGACAUGUACUACUCAUGUCAGGGAGGGAGCAGAGCAGAUGCAAUGAACAAGGGCAUGUGGGAUCACUUGAGGGUCAUUGUUCAAAAGGGGAAGGAAAAACUUGAAGGUGAAUUAUGUACCCGCCUAUGAAUAGGUAAAUUUUGAGUCCAACAGCAUACGGCUGAAUUCAAACAAUGGUCCAUACAACGAUAAUUGAGCUUGCACCUAGAUCAUUGUAUGGCACUAGCUAUGGGAGCCCAGGCGUAAUGUAGAUCAGGCACAAAGAUGAGCCAUGAAGGCGCGGCGUGAGGCUUCGCUGACGGUUCAACACAGUAAUGUGAUCGGUUGGCAAAG